GUAAUAAUCCUGUAGUCGAAAAUGUUGUCUCUCUUGAGUGGAUCCUGAGUACGACGGAGCACGUGAAAUUCCGUCGGAAUCUGGGAGGACCAUCUCCUAAGGCUAAAUACUCUCUAGUGACCGAUAGUGAACCAGUACCGUGAGGGAAAGGUGAAAAGCACCCCGGAAGGGGAGUGAAAUAGAACCUGAAACCGUGUGCUUACAAGUAGUCAGAGCCCGUUAAUGGGUGAUGGCGUGCCUUUUGUAGAAUGAACCGGCGAGUUACGAUUUGAUGCAAGGUUAAGCAGUAAAUGUGGAGCCGUAGCGAAAGCGAGUCUGAAUAGGGCGUUUAGUAUUUGGUCGUAGACCCGAAACCAGGUGAUCUACCCUUGGUCAGGUUGAAGUUCAGGUAACACUGAAUGGAGGACCGAACCGACUUACGUUGAAAAGUGAGCGGAUGAACUGAGGGUAGCGGAGAAAUUCCAAUCGAACCUGGAGAUAGCUGGUUCUCUCCGAAAUAGCUUUAGGGCUAGCCUCAAGUGAUGAUUAUUGGAGGUAGAGCACUGUUUGGACGAGGGGCCCCUCUCGGGUUACCGAAUUCAGACAAACUCCGAAUGCCAAUUAAUUUAACUUGGGAGUCAGAACAUGGGUGAUAAGGUCCGUGUUCGAAAGGGAAACAGCCCAGACCACCAGCUAAGGUCCCAA
rnacentral:rRNA from 1 species